CCUAACACAUGCAAGUCGAACGGAAAGGCCCUGCUUGCAGGGUACUCGAGUGGCGAACGGGUGAGUAACACGUGGGUGAUCUGCCCUGCACUUCGGGAUAAGCCUGGGAAACUGGGUCUAAUACCGGAUAGGAGCCAUUUUUAGUGUGAUGGUUGGAAAGUUUUUCGGUGUAGGAUGAGCUCGCGGCCUAUCAGCUUGUUGGUGGGGUAAUGGCCUACCAAGGCGGCGACGGGUAGCCGGCCUGAGAGGGUGGACGGCCACAUUGGGACUGAGAUACGGCCCAGACUCCUACGGGAGGCAGCAGUGGGGAAUAUUGCACAAUGGGCGCAAGCCUGAUGCAGCGACGCCGCGUGGGGGAUGACGGCCUUCGGGUUGUAAACUCCUUUCGCUAGGGACGAAGCUUUUUGUGACGGUACCUAGAUAAGAAGCACCGGCUAACUACGUGCCAGCAGCCGCGGUAAUACGUAGGGUGCGAGCGUUGUCCGGAAUUACUGGGCGUAAAGGGCUCGUAGGUGGUUUGUCGCGUCGUCUGUGAAAUUCCGGGGCUUAACUCCGGGCGUGCAGGCGAUACGGGCAUAACUUGAGUACUGUAGGGGUAACUGGAAUUCCUGGUGUAGCGGUGAAAUGCGCAGAUAUCAGGAGGAACACCG
rnacentral:rRNA from 1 species